rnacentral:lncRNA from 1 species
UGAUACCCUUCACCGAGCAAAAUAUUGGAGCAUUUCAAAUUUCUGUGUAGAACAGGAGGACUUGCUUUGUCAUGUAGAUACUUCAAUCCCUUCGCUGCACCAGCGGCUAUUUUCAUUCGCGUAUUCCAAUCAAGUCGUCUCUUACCUGGUAACACAUCUGCAAAAGAAGCUUAUGAAACCAGUUCCACCGAAAAGCUAACUAAUGAAUCAUUAAAGGUUAAGAAGCAUCUGGAAUUCGAAAGCUAAUGCAAAAGGCUAUAGACACCAUGUAAAUGGUCGCCCAAUGACCCUAGGGGCAUAUAUUCAUAAACAAGAAGCCUUUGAUCUCCAUCCGCACAAUAACCAAUAAGAUUAACAAGAUUGGGGUGGUGAAGAAGACUAAACAUCAACAAUUCAACAAGGAAUUCCCUGUUCCCUUGUAAUCCAUCACGAUCAAGUUGUUUGAUAGCCACUACCUACACCGAACACAACGAUAAGUUUCAAAUUCCAUGACCAACUACAUCGAUCGCAUAUUAGAAGGUAAAUCUCCUAGUAAGCUAGAAUCUUCAUCCCAUGCUUUGCAAUCUGUAGUCUAUGAAGAAAAUUUCAAAAUAAUCAUUCCCCAAUCCACCCCAACCCAAAAAAGGAAAAAAAAAAACAGCCUUGAAAAUAUCUACACACACGUAUAUGUGUAAAGCACUCGUAAAACCUCUUCGGGGUGCUUUAUUGUUUCAUGUUCAAUGAAAUAAAAAGAUAACCAUGACUAACCUGAUUUGUCCUUUCCAAACGUCCCUUGAAUACUCGACCAAAUCCACCUUCACCCAAAAGACAUUCUGCCCUGAAAUUUCUAGUUGCAGCUGCCAAUUCACGAAAUACAAAAGUCUGUGCUUCAAUGUGAUCAGACCCUCGAUCUUUUGGAUCCUCCUUGACACUCAAAAUGGAACUAGUCUUUGAAAAACCUAAAAUCAAACAUGGAAAAGAAGUGAGAACUUUUAAUAGUUAAAAAGUAUGAGUGAUUUCUUUCACAAUGGAGAAAAUAACCAACCUAUAAACUUCUCAUAAAUAUAGCAACUAAAUUGUAAUAAAGACUGAGCUGGAUUUUGCAGAUGAUGCCAAGCUUUCCGAAAACAAUCCUGCAUGGCUAUAUGCAAUACCAGGAGUAUAAGCCGCAUUUCUGACAAGAAAACAGCAAGAACAAUGCUACAAAGAUUCCUUCUUUACCAGUGCAUUGUAUGAUGUGCCGUCAUAAUUCAUAUUUAACUACAACAACAGUUCAUACCCUAUCAAAUUCAAUCCCAAAGUUAUCUCAAAAUUUGAAAAAUUCUACUCAAAGACACUAAUCUGCAUACUAAAAACUGAACAAAAUAAUACUUCACAUGAAAUAUCUAAUCUUCUGCAAAAUUUAAAAGAAACCCAGAUGGAUAAAAACAAUUACCAAGCCAGUAAAUUCAUCUGUUAAUCACCAGCAGCACAGAUUGAGGUAAAUUUAGAUAAACCAGUAAGUACCUGAAGUGGGUUUGAUCUGAUCAAGUGGCUUAUCCUGUAACUCAAUCUUGUUCUUCCUUUUCUUCUUGGUUUUUGCUUUACAGUUGGAAUUACCAGAACAGGGAAUCAUCAUCCAACCCAUGAUUUUAUAUUGCUGUUUGAGAAGCCAAAGACUCCAAAAGAGAAAAAAGCAGCAGUUAGAAAAAGCAGUCUCUACAGAGACUCUUCAAACCUUCCCCAACUUUCCCAAAAGGAAAAACCCCACACGAGCUACUCAGAUAACGAGAGCUUAUAAAUUUGUAUAUCGAAAAGCUGGAACUUAGAAGUAAGCACAUUUUUUAUUCCACCAACUCUGAUUUUUCUUUCUUUUUUUUGGUUGUCAUGGGAUAUAUUUGAGAAUCGGAAACCAAAUUUAGGUAAAAGAUUCGACCUGUUGUAAAUCAGUGGAUGUACACUCAACCAGAAGAAUAAAGAUAGCUGUCAACCAAGUUGGUUUCAGUGCCUUCCAACCUUGGCCAUCAAGAUUCUCUAAUUAUUUUGAUUAACAAAACAAGUUGGUUUCUGUCAUAAAACCAAAUUUAGGUAAAAGAUUCGACCUGUUGUAAAUCAGUGGAUGUCCACUCAACCAAAAGAAUAAAGAUAGCUGUCAAACAAGUUGGUUUCAGUGCCUUCCAACCUUGGCCAUCAAGAUUCUCUAAUUAUUUUGAUUAACAAAACAAUUUGGUUUCUGUCAUAAAAUAAGGGGAGCACACCCCCACACAACACAAGACUGGGCAGAGAAGAGAAACGGAAGGAAGAGAUAAAAAAAAAAAGAAAGAAGAGAACAAAGAAUAGAUAAAGUUAUCUUUGUAAUCUUAUUAUUUCAAAUUAUAAAAUAAAGCAUUAUUGCUGUCUCGAGGACGUACUUCAGUUGCAUUGACUGUAGAGGAUCCUUGUGUCUUAUUUCAUUUAUUCUACUGCACACAUACCGUCGAAUUCACAACACAUUAUCAGCAUGAAAAGCUUUUAUGUCAGUGGAAAGCACAAUGCCACAAAUUCGGUCCACCUCUGUCAGUUGGAAUCCUACAGAUAAGAAAAUCUUUUCAUAUCACCCUCAAAUCUAUGUACUACUGAUUUUCUUAAAGCAAAUAUAUAUAUAUAUAUAUAUACACACACAUACUCAAAAUCCGUAUAGAAUCUGAUAGCCAUGUAAAUAGUCUCGGAAAUCCAACUUACUGAUCUCGGAUUGAAAUACUUUCUUCCUGAAAGUUGUUCGUCCGCCCAGUAUCUACAAUAUAUCAAAUUUUCAGAAAAUUCCAACGAUACGAUCAUCGCAGAUGUUUGAAAUGCCAAACCAGUUUCCAAUUUCAGCAGAAAACUAGACAGUCAUCUUAUGAGUACCAAAACUCCAUUUUCGGUAGCUCAGAUCGAAAUUGUUUUUUCACGAAAGUUGUUCGGUAUCCUUUUAUCCUCUUGUUCAUAUCAAACUAAAAUUUGAGCUAAAUCUAACAGUUUGAUCUUCUCAUAAGUUGCAAGCACUAUUCCUGACUCCAAAACUUAUGGGAACCGUUUAUGUUCUUUCGAAACUCAUCGGAUGAGGAACAUCAAUUGAGACUUAUUGUUACUAUUACUUCCUGGGUAACUAAAAAGACUUAAGAGUUGUAAAAAUAAAAUAAAAUAAAACAUAAGAGAUGAAACAAAAGAAAGUGGCAUACAAAGAAAAAGAAAAGAAGAAAAAAAAAUAAUGGAAACUUAAUCAUUACCCUUUUCUAUUAUUGCUUUAUUUAGAUGAAUGGUGCUUGUUUAAGGUCUUUUCACAAAUUUAAUUUACUAAUUAAAUGUAAUUUAUUUACAAUGAGUGUUAUUAUCGCCAUUUGCUUUAAGUUUUGAUUUAUUUAUGUGAAUGAUGUUGAAUUAAAGUCUUUGUCACAAGCUUUAUUUACUUAUAAACAAUUUAUUUAUCAUGGUUGAAAUUACUGCCUAUUGCUUUAAUUUAUUUAUUGUAUUUCUUUUGUUACGAUGAGUAUAUACAGGAUCCGAAGUUCCUUGAUUAGAUUAGAACCUACAAUUUCUUGAUCCUCAUCAUAUAAAAUGAUUGGACCCGAAGUUCCAUCAUGAAAAAAGAUCAUAUAUAAAUUUCCGUUAGGAGAUUAUAGAAAAUAAGUUGUAGUCAUGAAUUUUCAGCAAGAGAAGUUCAUCAGGUUUGUUUCAUUUACAAUGGUCUACAACGACAUCCAUAACUCUUUAUUAAGUUGUUUUGUUUUUGGGUUAGACACUUAUAUGGUCACGCCUCUGUUAUCUACCUCCUCCUCUGACUCUCCUUUAUGUUUCUUCUUCCUCUCACUACAAAUUACAAAUAUGGCGGAAUCGGUGGAGUUUCCCACUAGCCUCGGCAUCCUUCCUUUCCGAAACAAGGUCCUAUUACCAAGCGGCAUCAUUCAAAUUCGAUGUAAUUCACCCAAAAGGUACCUUUGAGCCCUAAUCUUUCUCUUUUCAUGCUUUAUGGUGAAAUAUGUAUUUUUGAAUGGUUUUGUGGGAUUUUUGAGCAUAAAUUCAUUACCAAGUGCUGUUAUCCAGAUAGUGUAUACUUUUUUUGGAAAUAAACAGUGGAUGUUAUGGCUUGGAAAGAAUAUCUAAUAUUUGAAUGUGUGAUGUAUGUGAAGCAUCUGUCAAUGAAUUCAGCUUUCAUAUAUCAAGUUAACCAACUUCAUGUUUUCUUAAUAACUCAACUAAUCAAGUUCUUUGUUUUCUUUUGUUUCCGAUUCAUUCAAAGUUUGGACAAAUAAUGAUAGUAGAGGGAGUUUUCGAUCACUACCUUCCGUUCUAGGUUUUUUUUCUUUUUUUUUUCCCUUUCAAUUUCACUUUUUAUUACCAAAAUUGUGGCGUUUAAAAGGGUGAAUUUAACAUGAUUGGAUUACGACUUCCUUACAUAUUUAGACCAUAAGAGGGGGAGUAGGGUUGCUAUAUUCAAGCUCUCUUUUUUUUUUUUUUUUGAAUUGGAUUUCAUUUUUUUUUUAUGGGUUGAUCAUACAUCAUUCAUGAGAAGUGGGAUGGUGAGUUUCUCAAUACAGUUUAAAUUUUUGUGCAAAUAAUGUUUGUAAAAAAUGUGUUUUUAUUUAGUUCAUUGUAGAUUCUUAUUCUUGUAUUUAGUUCACCAUUCAUGCUUCUAAAGAUAAGAAGUGCAAUGCUCUCUCAUAUGUUAGUUUUGGGAGGUAAAGUUUUGAGCUUUUUGCAUUAAAUGUCCUGUUUUCGGGACGAAAUUUGGUGUUUUAAGAGGUCAUGAACAAAUUGUUGUUGGUUAGGUUUUGUGUUGUUGCGAAUUGGCUUCAGAUCCUCACUUGAUAUCCCAUUUAUGCGAAUUUACUUGAGGUCCUCACUUAAUUGGUAUUCUUCCCGUUCAAGAUGCUGUCGAGGCAGCAACAGUGGACUCUGUGUUGUCUCAAGGUGAUUUCUGCUUAUUUCCCCAUUUGACACGGAUGAGUGGAUGCCUAUGAUUAGGUGAAAGUGAAAUCUAAGAGGCUUUAGAAAUGGGAAGUUAUUCUGGUGAACGAAGAUCUAGAGUUCAAGUUUGUACAUUUGAUUCUCACAGGCUAGAUAGAUAGAGAAAAUUAGCAUAAACUUAUUCACUGUCAUACAAGGUAUACUUGAAUCAAAAUCUAUUUUGUUAUUCAUUGGAAAGUGUUUCUGUUUUAUGGGGCCACAACUUAACUUACAGAUAACACAGUGGUCCAUCUAAUCAUGCAUUUGUUGUGAUUGUUUUUAAUUCAAUCAGUUUGACUGCCCCUUUAACCCUUGAUUAAGCCAUGCUCAGUUGAUGUAUAUAAAAGCCAAGUUGCUUAUCUUAUUGACCUCAUUCACUCAUGUGUCCCUCUAUUCAUUCAUGAUUGUGUUGAAUUUAUUCAAGUUAAAUGCGUCUUAUUCAUGCAAUUACGCCUGAAACAAUUGGUUCAUGUUGCAACGUGCGGGCUUAUUAUUUAGUUUAAUACAAAUAAAGAGAAAAUGUAAUACUCUGAUGAGCUAAUUGAAGUCAACAAGGGUUUUUAACCAAAAUAGUUUUUGAGAUUGAUGUAAAUCUUCACAUUAGUGUUUGAGAUUGUCCACCAUCAACCGAUUUAGUCAUUUUGUGAAAAAUCUCCGCUAAAUUGACGAAACCACCGGUCAAGUGGAGGGGUUAAUUUGACAAAAAAUAUCCUCAAUUGAACGGAGAUUUUUCACAAAAAAUGAUUGACUGUGGAUAAUCUCAAAAAUCAUUUGGACUAAAAAGCCAAGGCAGUAGCAACGACGGGGGAAAUUAAGCCAAAAUAUUUACACCAUUUUUUGUCACCAAUCCAUCAAGCAAAGAGAUUCCCAAGUGAAAUGAUUGGCAUCGCAUAGCAGAGCAGAGCAUCCAAGGCGGGAAUCAGAAUCACUGCAACAGUUACUUUUGGUGUGUGUUUUUUCCUCUGAGCCCAUAUGACAUUUUUGUCAGACAAACAUGGGGUUGAAACAGUUUGAUGCCAAAGUUUGAAUGUGAUGUUGUCACUCAGUCGUGGCUUUUCUUUAGUUGUUGUAUCCUUCUCAGAUGAUCCUGCGUUCAUGUUCCUUAGUGGCUUGUCGUGGUUGUGCUUUCCCUCGUACGUGGUGAUGAAAGCUUUGGGAUCAUCCGAGACUGUUUCGACAUGCUUGCGCACGCUGCAUUUGAGACUGGUACAUCUGUAGUAACUUCUGCAAGAUCAUAAAAACUAUGGAGUAAGCACUAGCUAGCCACAGAGAAUCUUGCGUCCCACUGCAGAUGUCAUGAAUGCACAAACAUCACUUGAUGACCAACUUAAGCAACUAAGUCUUAACAUAAUCGAUAGAGGUUGGUUAUAUAUUGGAUUAGGAUCUCAUUCUGAAAAGUAAUGUCUCGAGUUCGGAUUACCAAAAUACUUCGUUAUCAACAAAAACGGGGGUAGAUUUGAGACCUCAUCAACAACACAAAAAAUAUUAGUAGACUAAGAGCUAGAGGUACAUUGUACGAAUGAGACAGAUGAGCGCACACAUGCAAGAGGAAAAUUAGCCAAUUGCUCUAAGAGGUGUGGAUACAUUUCCUAAAGAAAUAAAAAUGAGUUUUCACUCUUUCUAACCUGGGAUAUGGAUUUCCCUGAACAACUUUCUGACCGUACUUCCUCCAGCGGAAGCCAUCACACGUCAUAUCAAAUUCAACAGAAUUUUGCACCACAACACGAGGAUCUUGGACCCCUUCCUCUGAUAUACCUGCUUCAAUGGAAUGAUUAUCACUUUUUCUGAAGGAAAAUCAUAGUUAAACAUAGUCAAUGAGAUUAACCUUCAACAAAGUAUUAUGAAAGAAAUGCUCAUCAAGAAUCAAGAUAUUUCAAACGCAUUUUUAAUCCAAAUAGUCAGGGUCAAUCACGGAGAAGGGAAGAGACAAGAGAAGAGAAUGCUUGAAUGGAUUAAUUGUAUAUUUCAUUGAUACGUGAAGGAGAAAUAUAUACAGUUGAUAUGCACAAUCAACUCCAUAGAAAUUGGGGUUGACUUCCUAACUAGGAAAAUAAAUAAAAACUAAGUAUACAAAUAAUUAGGGAUUUGUUCCUAUUGAGAUCUCAUUGAUUUGUCAACACUCCCCUUCAAGUUGAUGCAUAUAUGUCACCCAUGCCCAACUUGUCUAAGAAACUUGAAAACUUAUGACUAGAAACGGCUUUCGUGAGAAUAUCUGCCAACUAAUUUUCUGUUCUAAUUGAUGGUACUUUAAUUAUUUUCCCUUCCAAUUUUUCCUUGAUAAAGAAUCUAUCAACUUCAACAUGCUUCGUUCUAUCAUGUUGUACCGGAUUAUCUGCAAUGUCACAUGCGGCUUUAUUAUCACAAAAUAAUUUCAUAGGCUGGUCAUUUUUAAUUCCCAAAUCCUGCAAUAAAAGUUUAAGCCACAAAAUUUCACAAAUUCCAAGGGCCAUUCCUCUGUAUUCGGCUUCUGCACUGGAACGGGCGACCACAUUCUGCUUCUUACUCCUCCAUGUAACCAAGUUACCCCCAACAAAUGUAAAGUAACCUGAUGUUGAGUGCCUAUCAUCAACCGAACCUGCCCAAUCUGCAUCAGUAUAACCUUCAACUCCAAGAUGGUUAUUUCUUUUAAACAAAAUCCUUUUUCCUGGACUUCCCUUCAAAUAUCGCAAAAGCCUUAUCACUGCAUUCAUAUGUUAUUCUUCGGGAUCAUGCAUGUAUUGACUCACUACACUCAAGGCAUAAGUAAGGUCCGGUCUUGUGUGUGCUAAGUACAUCAAACGGCCUACUAAUCUCUGGUAUCUCCCUUUGUCAAUUGGUACUUGAUUCAGAUCAACAUAAAGCUUUAAUCCUUCCUUUAAUGGUGUAGAUACUGGCUGACAAUCUGACAUGCUGGUUUCAUGUAAUAAAUCAAUAAUGUACUUUCUCUGAGACAAGAAAAUUCCCGAAUUGCCUCUCGAUACCUCAAUCCCUAAAAAAUAUCUCAAGGAUCCAAGGUCUUUCAUCUCAAAUUCAGUAGACAAGUAUCUUUGCAAGGCCACACGUUCUUCCGAAUCAUUUCCUGUUACCACCAUAUCAUCUACAUACACAAUAAGUGCAGUAAGCUUCCCAUUUCGUCUUUUCAAGAACAAAGUAUGAUCAGAGUUACUUUGUCUAUAACCAAAUGCUCUCAUUGAUUUUGUGAAUCUUCCAAACCAUGCUCGAAGGGACUGCUUCAAACCAUACAAGGAUUUCUUCACCUACACACCUUUCUUUUGUGUUUAUCUGGAGUAUUACAUCCUGGUGGAAGAUCCAUAUAAAUCUCUUCUAUCAAAUCUCCAUGCAAGAAAGCAUUCUUCACAUCGAACUGUUGUAAAGGCCAAUUGAGAUUUGUAGCCAAGGACAACAAAACUCGAACUAUGUUAAUCUUGGCCACAGGUGCAAAUGUAUCUGUAUAGUCAAUUCUAUAUUUUUUAGUUUACUACCAGUCUUGCCUUGAAGCGAUCCACCGUCCCAUCAGCUUUGUACUUCACAGUAUAAACCCAUUUGCAUCCCACAGGUUUCUUACCAGUUGGUAAGUCUGUGAUCUCCCAGGUAGCAUUCUUCUUCAAAGACUUCAACUCUUCAUUCAAUGCUGCUUGCCAACGUGGAUCAGCUAAAGCCUCUUGCACAUUAUUAGGAAUAUAUACAGUAGAUAAUUGAUACACAAAUGACUUAUUUGAGUCUGACAGGUGAUUGGUAGACACAUAAUUACUUAACGGGCAUAACACAUCAGACUUAAGGUGGGCUUAUUCACCAAAUACCUAGUUUUGCACUUAAAAUCAGCUUCGUAAGUGGCUUUAGGAAUACCUCGGUUGACACAGUUAGCGAGACGACAUGGUGGUGGUGGUGGUGCAUUUGGAAUCGAAGGCGAUUGAUUAUGGUUAUUGGGGCUCAAAGAUGGUGAAGCCAACUGUGAGGGCCGCGUGGAAGCUGGUAAUGCGGAAGUUGGCAGUGAGUUGUUCGGCGACGUAAGCUCGUCUCUUUCAAGGUUUUCAACAUUAUGAUCAUGUGAAUGAUCACCACUCGUCUCCAAUGAAUUACCACUUAAUUCCAAGUCAUUCGCAUUAUUUUCAUGUGAAUGAUCACCACUUGUCUCCAAGACAUUAUCACUUAAUUCCAAGUCAUUCACAAUGAUCACCACUUGUCUCCAAGACAUUAUCACUUAAUUCCAAGUCAUUCACAACGUUAUUUUAUUGUGAAUGGUCACCACUUGAAUCAAAAUCAUUCACAAUAACUGUAUCCGGAAUACUAUAAUCAAGAGUUUGAACUUUUGUUUGAUGCUCCCCCUGAAGUGAAGACUUGAGAUUGGCAUAGUACAUAUCAUUCUCAUGAAAUGCAACAUCCACAGUGACAAACAACUUUUUCGUUGGAGGGUGAUAACAUCGGUAUCCUUUUUGUUGUGAGGCAUACCCCACAAACACACACCGCAAGGCCCAAGGUUCAAGCUUACUUCUCUGCUGCUUAUGAAGAUGAACGAAUACCACACAACCGAACACGUGAGGUGGGAGAUUGGAAAUUGGAAGAGCAUCAACAUGGGAGACGAGAGCCUGAAAUAGUGUCUAAAAAUUAACUGAUCGAGAAGAAACACGAUUAAUGAGAUAUGCAACUGAAGUGAGAGUUUCUCCCCAGUAGGAUAGCGGAAGACAAGCCUCAAGCAAGGAAGCACGAACAACUUCCAGAAGCAGACGGUUCUUACGUUUUGCAACCCCAUUUUGUUAAGGAGUGCUUGGACAUGUAAAUUGAUGAACAAUAUCAUGAUGAUCAAGAAAGGCACGAAGCUCAUUGUUCACAUACUCGCCGCCAUUAUCACUCCUGAGAACCUGUAUUUGUGACUUAUAUUGUACUUGCACCAUUUUGUGAAAUCACUGAAACAAAGAAGUAACUUCAUUUUUGGACUUCAUCAAGCAAGCCUAAGUUAUACGUGUGCAAUCAUCAAUAAAAGUAACAAACCAAUGAUCCCCGACACCGAAAUAUUUAUUUUAUUUCGGAAAAUAUUAGUAUUGGUGAUAGGCCCAAAAUAACCCUUAUUUAGUUUAUUAGCAUUAGUUACGUUCUUUCGCUUCAAUGAUUUACUUUCUUACAACACUAUCCAUAGUUUAUUUCUCUUUUUCUUUUUUAUACCAAAACAACAAAUUAAAAUACUAACUUAAUUCACAAGGAUUAAUCAACAACUCCUAAUAAAUUCCUUCAUCCCACGAGCAAAACAAUAUUUGGUGGACCAAUUUUCAUUAUGUAACCUUAAUUCUCGAAUUUAUUUAUAUUUAACCUCACAUAAUUUUAUGGUUGCAUCUAACGUCUCGUUAGACUGCCUACGUACCCUAAACAGGGAUCAAGCCAUUCGUAGUUCACAAUUCAAAACUUCAACCAAAUCCCGAAUAUAUUCAAUUAAUCCAACAUAUACAACAAUCGUAUUAAUAUCCAAACCUCAGCAGUUAGUUUUCAAAAAUAUUAAUAAAAAUUUGAAUUUUGGCAUAAAACAUAAUAUUGGCUCCCUAGCCGUGCGCCGCCGCACGCACCGCCGUGGGUGGCGGUCGACCGCCCGGCUCGCCAGAGAAUUUAACUAUUUCUAAAAUUUCCCAAAAAUUACAAAAAUGAAGAUCUCAAAGAGUAGAGCAAACUUUAUACCUGUGGCCAAGCCCAAUUUGGCUUGGAAAGGCUCCAAUUUGCCUCUAACCCGUUGGAACCCUAGAAUUUGGGUGUCCCCGAUUUGUUAUCUCCGGUGUUCCACCGCUCCAACCAAGGCUUGGGUUUUGUUCUAGGGCUCAAGGGGAGUCUAAAGGUGGUUGUAAUUGAACUAAAACAUUUCAGAUUUUGAUGGAUUUCGAGCAAGGAAAGUCGCGGCACCCAUGAGGUGUUUUCCCCAAUUCUUAGAUUAAUUAAACUCCAAUUUGUGGUGGAAUAGGUAAACGAGAUGAUUAGAGAUAAUUUUCAGGUGGUGGGGGACCUUAAUUUCGUCGGAAUUUGGCCGAGAGAGGAUGAAUCUCGCCGGUUAUGCCUCACGGGUCAAAAGACUCGUUUUCCCCUCCUAUUUUCUUCUCUCAUUUCCCUCCUUGUUCUCCCUCCUGAUUCGCCCCCCCCUUCCUUCCUUUCUCUCCUUCCCUUUUCCUCACAACCGUUCCUCCUUUUCUUCCUUUAAUCUUAGCCACACACGUGGCUUUCCCAGAUUUGGCCUAAAAAUCUGGAAUCUUCUCAAAACGAUCAAGUGACCAUUUUGUCCCUGACUUUAAACGUCAAUAACUUCUUCGUCAUAACUCCGUUUCACGAACGAUUUGCGCCUAUGUGUUCGUGAGAUCGAGCUCUAUUUAAAAAUAUAAAUUAUGACCUUGUACGGUCUACUGAUUUUAAAUAAUAUAAUUCCCAAACUUCUAACUUCUUAACUAGUUUAGUUCAAAACUAGCUCAAAUGAAUUAAUAAAAUUUCUCAAUUCUUUUUCACAUACUCAAAAUUUUGAAUAUUUCAAUUCCUAUAUUUAAAUUUUUCAGGGUAUUACAAAUGAGCCACCAAAUGUUCCAGUUUUAGAUGGUCCCGAAACAUCAGAAUGGAUUAUCAUAAAAGGAACAGAACUUUUAGUCAUACUGGGUGGAAACGAAGUAUGAUGACUUUUAGCCAAUUUACAAAUACCACAUUUAAAGCUAGAAACAUAUGCUUAACAGAUAGGCUAGGAAACAACCUUAAUAAAUAACCAAAAGAAACAUGUCCAAGUCAACGAUGCCACAACCAAACCUCCGAAGCUUUAUUCUUCUCCCCCUUAGAUCCUUCCACUGCAAGAGUUUGCCCUUCCUAAUACCAUAACCAAUCAUCUUGCGAGUCCGAAUAUCCUUAAAAACACAAAAAGAAGGCCAAAACAUCACAAAGCAAUGUAGGGCGACAGUGAUUUGAGCAAUUGAUAAUAAAUUAUAAUCAAGGGAAGGAACAACAAGUACGGAAUCAAGGUUAAGGGUAUUGGAAAGGGAGACAGUGCCUUCCCCAAUAAUGGGGACAACAUUACCAUUGGCAACACUCACGACAGUUUUGAUGGAUGGUUUUAGGGUUUGUACCUGUCCAGGAUCACAAGUCAUAUGUUCAGUAGCACCAGAAUCAAUUAUUCAUGUAUUAUUCGUAACAGAUGCAGAAACUUUUAAAGCCUUACCAUCGUUAUAGUUAUGUUCAGAAGCUACCUUAGUUUUUGUAAUCAGUGCACGAGUCUAGACAACCAUUGCUCUGGAUGAAUUUGGUGCAACACAUAUGGAUGAUUGAUAAGGUCAAAACUUCCAAACAAAGGUCCUAUAAAACAAAAAAAUAAAAAACCAACAAAUUUCCUUCUUUUUUUUCCUCUUCCUCCCUGCCAUUUUUCUAUUUUUCUAUUUUUUUUUCUUUUUUCUUCUUUAUCUACUUUUCUACCCGUCAUUCUUCUUGAUUUUCUUUUCUUCAAACAGCAAGUUUUUCCUUCUUUUUUUUCGGCUUUUUAGCCAAAAUGGUCCUUGAGAUUUGCAGAACUCCUCACUUUGGUCCCUAAGAUUUCAAAUCAAUAGAAGUGGUCCCUGAGAUUGUCCACCAUCCAUCAUUUUGGUCUUUCUGUUAAAAACUCCAUUAAGUGUCCCAGAGUUCUUGGCCAGAAGUUUGGGCAAUUUUCAAAGCAUCCUAACUCAAUCGUUUCUUAACCAAAUUCGACCCAUAAUAUAUCAAAAUGAAGAUAGGAAAGUGUAGAAUAAGAUUAUACUAUUUAGAAUCCCAAUGGUUGCCGAAGAUGGUCAGAAAAUAGCAUCAAAGUUGACUGGUCUGAGGAAAAACUGGAAAACUCGCCGGAAACUGGGUAAACUGUAAACGUUCAUAACGUCUUCAAUACUCAACGAAAUCAAGUGAUUCAAAAACAAAAAUCAUACUUCUAGAUGAAACAAAGACAAUGGUACCUUUUUCAGUUGCUAACUCACCGUGGUUUGGCCCAAUGGGCUCAAAAGUGGUUAACUCAAGACCAAGACAGCCACUUUCGAGCCAUUUUCCAGCCAAAACACGGAGCGUUAGCCACUGAAAAAUGUACAAUUCUCUUUGUCUCGUCUAGAAGUAUGAUUUUCAGUUUUGAAUCACUUGAUUUCAUUGAGUAUUGAAGAAGUUAAAAACGUUUAAAGUUCACCCAGUUUCUGGCGAGUUUUUUAGUUUUCCCUCGGAGCAGUCAAAUUUAAGGCUAUUUUCCAACGAUCUCCGGCAACCAUUGGGCUUCCAAAUAAGUAUAAUCUUAUUCUACACUUUCCUAUCUUCAUUUUGAUAUAUUAUGGGUCAAAUUUGGUUAAGAAACGAUUGAGUUACGAAACUUUGAAAAUUGCCCAAACUUCCGGCCAAGAGCUUCAGGACACUUUAACGAAGUUUUUAACGGAAUGACCAAAAUGAUGGAUGGUGGAUAAUAUCAGGGACCACUUCUAUUGAUUUGAAAUCUCAAGGACUAAAGUGAGGAGUUAUGCAAAUCUCAGGGACCAUUUUGGCUAAAAAAAGCCUUGUUUUUUCACAACAGCACAACAACCUUUUUUUCCUUAAUCUUUUUCGCAACAACAAGCCUUUUUUCUAAUGUUCUUCAAACAACAAGAAGUGGGUCACGGAGUCUAGGCAAAUAAACUAAAUAUAGUGGCUUCAGUCGAAUAUGGGCAUGCAUAACAAAUUCACAAGUCGGAAUCUGGGACAAAUUUCAGGCAGCAGGUUGAAUCUCGGUACGUGGUGGUCGAUGCAGGGAGAGAAUCGGUGAACUCGGAUCAGCAAUGACGGCGUCGCUCACUGGUCGGAUGGUGCACAGCACAACUGGGUGCACGGCUGGUAGUUUGGGUUCUCAGGUCAGCAACGACGGCGUCGCUCGCUGGUCAGACGGCGCUGCACAACUGGCUGUGCGGUAGUUAUGGUUCUCCGUACAGAGGACGGCCUCGUCUUUUUGCUUUUUCUUUUUUUUUUUUGUGUUUUUUCUCAAAACUUAGGCUCUGGUACCAAGAAGAGAAUGCUUGAAUGGAAUAAUUGUAUAUUUCAUUGAUACAUGAAGGGGAAAUAUAUACAGUUGAUAUGCACAAUCAACUCCAAAGAAAUUGGGGUUGACUUCCUAACUAGGAAAAUACAUAAAAAAACUAAGUAUACAAAAAAUUAGGGAUUUGUUCUGAUUGAGAUCUCAUUGAUUUGUCAACAACAAGAAAAUGGAUGCAAACGAUGAUAAGUGACCUAUCGUAUUGUUUCAAAUAGUAAGGUGCACCAGCUUUCAAAACUAAAUCAUGCAUAGCUAAUCCAAGGCCUCUGAUUUAGUCUAACCUUUACUUCUAGGUUCAUAAUCCUCUGCUUCAAGCCCCUUGCUUCCUCGCAUUCGCCACUGAGACCACAAGAAUUAUCAGGAGUUGCACCACCAGCAGUUAUUCCUCCAGUUGCAUGGGGAUCAUAAGGUAGUGGAGCUUUGGUUUGAUAAGACUGCACAGGUAGUCCAACUUCAUUUUGAUCUCCUACUCUACCUUCGGAACCUUCAUCUCUUUCAUUAAGACUGCACAGGAAGUUCCAUAUGCUGAUGAGUGACACAAAAGUGUUUAUGGUCUGAGGUUUGUAACCCAAAGCUUCGUCAAUUUGGCCGAGGUUGUCGGUAGCAGUGAAGCUCGAUCCAAGUCCAAAUAAUGUUGCAAUGAAUAUGAGUAGCAUGUCAAUGCUCAAGAUUGCUUGUAAAAUGGCGUAGUCUUCUCCUCUUGGUGGUUUCUGAAAAUGUUUGAGAACAACAACGUACCUAUCGGCUUGAUCUCUUGAUCCAACUCCAGUUCUUGUGGUUCAUUGAUUUCGUUGUCCUUGUUCUUGUGUUUCCUCUAAGUCUAUUCGACUAGGUUCUUGUUUCGACAGUGUCCAGCUGACUAACUCCUCUCUGAUGAUAAUCAAGAGAGGAAUCAAAAGCAGGAAGCACACCAGCAGUCGUAGCUUGGGCUGCCCGGGGGAAGACAACCAAUUUCUGAGUCAGAGUUAUUGCCAUGAGAAACAAGGCAAGAACAAUCGACACGUACAGAAAGCGAUAAAACACUUUUGAGUUGUCGUUUUUGCUGUUGAUUUUUAGCAGCUGCUGUGAUUUUUAUCGGACGAAUCGUGCACAGAAACACAACUGAGAUUGCAGCUGGGAGCCAACCGAUGAGAAGAAUUAGAGCUCUCUGGUCUUGAAAUCCAUACAAUGCUAGAUAUAUUUGGGUGAUGAUCGCCCCACUGAGGCCGAUGUACCCUUUGAGGAGGCAGAUCAUGAUGCCGCGGCUUUGUGGGAAGUUUUUGACGCAAGUAACCAUAACACCUGUUCGCAAAGCUCAGAGAAUUUGUUGCAAUGUACAUGUAGACACAUGUGCCAGAUUUCCGGCUUCGCGAUCUUUCCCGUGACUCCUAACCACAUCGUGAAGUAGCCGAAGAAGUUCGUGGCCGCACCAUUGAGGAGCUCAAACCACGUCGUUGUUACCUCCGCUAUUAAGCCUGCGAAAAUGCCGAUGUUGGCCCCAAGGUUCUUGAAGAACCCCAGCAGGUUGAGGGUUUCUUGGUCAUAGCCAAAGGUGGUUUUGAGCUCUUUGGAAUAGGUUCCAAACAGAUAAAUUGUACCUAAAUCAGACAUCACCAUCAACAAAGCGAAAACGGAAAACCAUCCGCUUUUUGCCGCGAAAAGUAUCGGUAGGUUUCCGGUGCACCCAGUUGAUGGUGUUGGUGCUGCCUCACUAUUUUGCUUAGCUAUUAGUUUUUGGUUUGGGGGGAGGAAUGGAAAUGGAUUACAUGUUUUACCAUGUAAACAUUAUUAUCUUGCUACCAAAAAAAGAAACAAAAAUCAAUAUUCACUUGGAAAAUUGUUUUUGCUUGGCAUUUAUAUUUUUUUCUUUAUCAGAAUUCUUAGGCAUUAUCCUUAAUAAAAAUCUUAAUAAUUAGUCUUAUCUUUUUUUGUUUUUCUAACGAGAUUUGGAGAUUUUUUAGUAUACUUAAGAGUUUUUGCCGUUAGAUUCUUGGUCAAAGACCAUGAUCCAAAUGCCAAAAAUCCAAAAGUAUAGGGAACCAUAGAGCAGCAUAUAAUUUUCGUCAAAUUAGUUACACAUUUUCAGGAGCCUCGGAACCACCAAACUGCAGCAAAAUCCCAUACUCCAGAAAACAGCUAGUGCUAGACAAUGUUUUAAAAGGCUCGCCUCAGGGCGCGCCUAGGCUCGCCUCAGGGCGCGCCUAGGCUCGCCUCAGGGCGCGCCUAGGCUCCCUGUGAGGCUGGACUUGAGGCUUGCUGCCUCUGUUUUUCAGGGAGUGGGCGAAAGGCGUCGCCAGAGCCGCCUAGGCGUGCCUCAGGGAUUUUUUUUUUAUUACUCCCAAACCCAAAUUUUGGGUGGGGUUUUAACUACCUCAUACCUCUUCCUUGCACUAUCAUCUCUCUGCCUUGUUUUCUGAUUUUUAUUUUUUAUAUAAUGGAUGUGUGUGUCGUCUGUGUGCAUUAUUAUAUAUGUGCUCAUUGUGCUUUUCAUCAUCUAUUUUAUAUAUAUAAUAUAAUAUGUGUAUAUAUAUAUAUGUGUGUAUAUAUAUUUAUAAUAUGUGUGUGCUCAGGAUAAUUAUUGAUUAAUAAUCUUCUUUUUUAAUAUAAUAUAUGUGUACGCUCAGUGUAUAUAUUAAAAAAUUUAGGUCUCGUGAGGCUUCGCCUCACGCCUCACACCUAGGCUAGGCUAUCCCUUGGACGCCUCGCCCACAUCUUACGCUUUUAAUACAUUGGUGCUAGAUACAGUUAAAUUAGGAAGUAAAAUAAAUAGUUUAUUUCUCAUGGUAAAGUAUUUUUCCUACCUUUGAAAUUGAUUCAGAUUGAAAACUCUUACUCGAGUUUUCGGGUUCCAAAUGAUAUGUAUAAUCGUGCGCGAUAUGUUAUAAAACUAAACGUAAAUCUUGUUUAUAUGUUAUAAAACUUGCCUUGCGCUCUAAGCCAAGUUCAUCCAUCCAUUCACAUUUACAAACAAAAGAAAAAGCAAUACAAAGCAAUCUUGACAGGGUUUAGAAAUUACAUUUUACACAACACAGCAGAACCAUACCCCCGAAAACUUGAAAAGAGAAGGUAGUAUGAAGCGAAACCUACGGGAUCUAGAGAUAAUGAAGAAUAAAGAUGUAAAAAUACAAAUGAAAAAUCACUGCACUAAGGCACACAAGGAUAUAGUACAGCAUUCCGGCUCUGUAUAUAUUCAAGAAGAAAAAACAAUGAAGAGAAACACUACCGCAAUUGAGCUUUCCUUUCACUAUCCCUCUUGGUUCUAGGGGGAGUACAAGGGGCAAGACGGGAGCUUUGGACUGGCUCUGUUUCAUGGUCAUACUUCUGUGAAGCAAGGUAAGUCAAAGCUGUGACGACAUCAGCUAUAACUGGCCGCAUAUUAGGCUGCUCCUGAACACACAUUGCUGCAACUGCAAGAGCUUGGUACAAGCCCCUUUGGGGAUACUGACCCUGGAGCGUUGGGUCUGCCAUUUGUGAAAGUUUCUUUCGGUCAUUAAACAAGGGUCUUGCCUGAAACAACAAAGUAGUAACAUGUGAGUGUUAAAUAUCAGAAUAAGUUCUGAUUUGCAGAAUUCUUUAUUGAUGGUCACUCAAAUUAUUAAGAAUAUGAAAGAGCUAAAAAAAAUGGGAAUAUGAAAGAGCUCAAAAGGCUUCAUUAUUUAAAAGAAUAUGAAACAUGUGAACCGAACGGAAUUUCUUACCCACGCAACCAAAUUCUGUUCUCCUGCACCUCUGGUAUUGUCAAUCGCUGUCCUGCCUGUUAUAAUUUCCAAAAGAACUACGCCAAAGCUAUAAACGUCUGAUUUAAGAGUCAAUUGCCCUGUCAUUGCAUACUCUGGAGCACAAUAUCCAUACGUUCCCAUUACCCUUGUAGAUACAUGGGUGUUAUCCCCAACAGGCCCAAGUUUGGCUAAACCAAAAUCAGACAGCUUUGGAUGAUACCCUUCACCAAGCAAUAUGUUGGAGCAUUUCAAAUCUCUGUAUAUAACAGGAGGACUUGCUUUGUCAUGUAGAUACUCCAAUCCCUUCGCUGCCCCAGUGGCUAUUUUCAUUCGCGUAUUCCAAUCAAGUCGUCUCUUACCAGGUAACACAUCUGCAAAAGAAGCUUAUGAAACCAGUUCCACCAAAAAGCUAACUAAUGAAUCAUUAAAGGUUAAGAAGCAUUUGAAAUUUGAAAGUUAAUGCAAAAGGUUAU